AUGAGUGACGUACACCACUGUUUUUUGAGCCAAUGCCCCAAGCAAGCAUUCCUACAGAACACAGAAGAAACCUUAACAAAUGUGUCUGUCAAAUUCCUGUGGAGCAGCAAACAGAAGGUAGUACCAUUGUACCUUGAAUAUGUGGGAUCCUGUAUGAGCAUCGACAGCACUGAAGGGGUCGUCGAACAAAUAAAUGUCGGCGUCCUGAUACAGAGCCCGUGCUAUCUGAACUCUCUGCUUCUGCCCACCGCUGAGGUUGAUGCCUCGCUCUCCAAUGAACGUCUGGUCGCCCGACGGGAAGCUCUCCAGGUCUUUCUUCAGCGAACACAGCUCUAG
rnacentral:rRNA from 1 species